GGGGUAACGGCCUACCAAGGCGACGAUCAGUAGCCGACCUGAGAGGAUGAACGGCCACAUUGGAACUGAGACACGGUCCAAACUCCUACGGGAGGCAGCAGUGGGGAAUAUUGCACAAUGGGGGAAACCCUGAUGCAGCAACGCCGCGUGAGUGAAGAAGUAUUUCGGUAUGUAAAGCUCUAUCAGCAGGGAAGAAAAUGACGGUACCUGACUAAGAAGCCCCGGCUAACUAC
rnacentral:rRNA from 1 species